rnacentral:rRNA from 1 species
GUAGGUGGCAAGCGUUGUCCGGAAUUAUUGGGCGUAAAGCGCGCGCAGGCGGUUCUUUAAGUCUGAUGUGAAAGCCCACGGCUCAACCGUGGAGGGUCAUUGGAAACUGGAGAACUUGAGUACAGAAGAGGAAAGCGGAAUUCCACGUGUAGCGGUGAAAUGCGUAGAGAUGUGGAGGAACACCAGUGGCGAAGGCGGCUUUCUGGUCUGUAACUGACGCUGAGGCGCGAAAGCGUGGGGAGCAAACAGGAUUAGAUACCCUGGUAGUCCACGCCGUAAAUGAUGAGUGCUAAGUGUUAGGGGGUUUUCCGCCCCUUAGUGCUGCAGCUAACGCAUUAAGCACUCCGCCUGGGAGUACGACCGCAAGGUUG